rnacentral:rRNA from 1 species
AUUGAACGCUGGCGGCAGGCCUAACACAUGCAAGUCGAGCGGCAGCGGGGGAAAGCAUGCUUUCCCGCCGGCGAGCGGCGGACGGGUGAGUAAUGUCUGGGAAACUGCCUGAUGGAGGGGGAUAACUACUGGAAACGGUAGCUAAUACCGCAUAACGUCUACGGACCAAAGUGGGGGACCUUCGGGCCUCAUGCCAUCAGAUGUGCCCAGAUGGGAUUAGCUAGUAGGUGAGGUAACGGCUCACCUAGGCGACGAUCCCUAGCUGGUCUGAGAGGAUGACCAGCCACACUGGAACUGAGACACGGUCCAGACUCCUACGGGAGGCAGCAGUGGGGAAUAUUGCACAAUGGGCGCAAGCCUGAUGCAGCCAUGCCGCGUGUAUGAAGAAGGCCUUCGGGUUGUAAAGUACUUUCAGCGGGGAGGAAGGUGUUGUGGUUAAUAACCGCAGCAAUUGUCGUUACCCGCAGAAGAAGCACCGGCUAACUCCGUGCCAGCCGCCGCCGUAACAC